rnacentral:rRNA from 1 species
UGCGCAGGCGGAACGAUAAGUCAGUGGUGAAAUCCUACGGCUCAACCGUAGAACUGCCAUUGAUACUGCCGUUCUUGAGUACAGUUGAAGUGGGCGGAAUGUGUCAUGUAGCGGUGAAAUGCUUAGAUAGGAAACAGAACACCGAUCGGGAAGGCAGCUCACUAAGCUGAAACUGACGCUCAGGCACGAAAGCGUGGGGAGCAAACAGGAUUAGAUACCCUGGUAGUCC